UACGUAGGUGGCAAGCGUUGUCCGGAUUUACUGGGCGUAAAGGGCGUGCAGGCGGUCUGUUAAGUUCAGGGUGAAAGCUCCCGGCUCAACUGGGAGAGGUCCUUGGAUACUGGCAGACUUGAGGAGGGUAGAGGAGAUUGGAAUUCCUGGUGUAGCGGUGGAAUGCGCAGAUAUCAGGAGGAACACCGAUGGCGAAGGCAGAUCUCUGGGCCGUAACUGACGCUGAGGAGCGAAAGCAUGGGGAGCGAACAGG
rnacentral:rRNA from 1 species